GGAAAGUCUGGAGACACAGGGCCUGAAGGAGAGCCUGGUAUUAAGGGGAUGCUUGGAGUUCCAGGGGUGACUGGACGUACGGGCACAAAGGGACCCCAAGGAUAUAUGGGAAGCAGAGGACAGGAUGGCCCUCAUGGAGCUCUGGGACCCACUGGUAUAACUGGACUGAAUGGAGGCGUUGGACUGCCUGGA